rnacentral:rRNA from 1 species
GAUGAACGCUGGCGGCGUGCUUAACACAUGCAAGUCGAACGAAACACCUUAUUUGAUUUUCUUCGGAACUGAAGAUUUGGUGAUUGAGUGGCGGACGGGUGAGUAACGCGUGGGUAACCUGCCCUGUACAGGGGGAUAACAGUCAGAAAUGACUGCUAAUACCGCAUAAGACCACAGCACCGCAUGGUGCAGGGGUAAAAACUCCGGUGGUACAGGAUGGACCCGCGUCUGAUUAGCUGGUUGGUGAGGUAACGGCUCACCAAGGCGACGAUCAGUAGCCGGCUUGAGAGAGUGAACGGCCACAUUGGGACUGAGACACGGCCCAGACUCCUACGGGAGGCAGCAGUGGGGAAUAUUGCACAAUGGGGGAAACCCUGAUGCAGCGACGCCGCGUGAGUGAAGAAGUAUCUCGGUAUGUAAAGCUCUAUCAGCAGGGAAGAAAAUGACGGUAC